rnacentral:ncRNA from 2 species
UUAACUUACGAUCUCCGAGCCACCCUGCCUAAGGCUUUUUUAAGCUAAGGCGGGCUGGCCGAUAGGGCUCUGCUGGAAACGGCUGAGCCUCCCCCUUGGAAAGGAGAUUAGGCGACCAACCC